rnacentral:lncRNA from 1 species
UAAUUUAUGUUUUUCCUAUGCAUCAUGUUUUGUUUAAAUGAAUUAUUAAUGUGACAUACUUAGCUUGUUGUUACCUUCCUAACAUUAAGAUACCAAGUGACAGUGGACGAGUUGAGACGAAGAGUUGGGGCCCCGGAAAAUAUGUCUUGCAAAUACCCUUGUCUGCUUCCUUCGUGUUCAAAAGAACAAGAAACAGGAGUUGAAACAAAGGCUUCAAAAUGCGUGUGUCAGCCCUGGACCUUUAACAAGUGUGGUGUCAAUGUGCUCAAAAUUAACUGAGGCUGAAGCUUGUGAGCUGGCAGACAACUUGGGGAAGAUGGCAGUAGCUUACAUUCCAGAUGACAUUCAACUCAUGGAGUUAGCCAACAAGGAUGUUGCACUGGGGAGACUUGCUUUUUUCAAGUGAGUAUAAUAAACUGUAAAUUAAGAAAUAUAUGCUACA